UCUGUCGUUCAUACCACGUGAAAUCCAUCGCUUCCCAUCAGCACAGCGAAAUUAAGCCACGUUGGGCGCCAAUAGUAUUGCGGUUAGUAAUAACGUGAGAAGUCGGCGUGAUGACAGGU
rfam:Bathycoccus prasinos genomic : Chromosome_2.